CUGUUCUUCCAGAGGACCCAAGUUCAAGUCUCAGCACCCACAUGGUGACUCACAAUAGCCUGUAGCUCCCAUGUCAGGGGCCCCGACACCAUCUUCUGACCGCUAUUGAUGCACAGACAUACACACAGGUCAAACACCCAAACACACAAAAUAAAAAUAACUAAAUAUUUAAAAAAGAAAUUGGCUAAGGCCUCACGGCCUAGACGCAGAUAAUCACUGUGAAAGCUAGCGCAAGCCAGGCACCCUCUCUACUUGGCCUUAGGUGGUCUCGUCAUUGUAGGAGGCACUUAGAGGCUGGAGCUGGGUCUCUUGCACCAAUUCCCUAGCCUCAGUGGGUGGAUACUAAAGGAAGGUACUCCAAAGGUGAAAGGGAUUGCAUACACUUGCAUACAGGGGUGCACAUGUGCACCAGUGAGUGUGGAGACCAGAGAUCAGGUCAACCUCGGGUGUCAUUCUUCAAGUGCUCUCAACCUUGGGUUUUUUUUGUUUGCUUGUUUUGCUUUGUUUUGUUUCAUUGGCUUUGGGUUUUGAGACAGGCUCUCUCACUUGGUCCAGAACUCCUUAACUAGGUUAGAUUGGCCAAUGAGUCCCAAGGAUCUGCAUCUCUGCCUCCCCAGGACUGGGAUUACAAGGGCAUUCCACCAGACCCCCUUUCAGCUGGUUUCUAGAGGUCAAACUCAAGUCUUGAUGCUUGUAAGGCAAACAUUUUACCACCUAGGCUAUCUCCGCUUUCCUUUAAGGCCAGAAUCCAAAAGGCUGCCCCUCUCCUUAAAGCUGUCCAUCACUCUUUCUUUUUAUUGUUGUUGUUUGUAUGCUUUUCCCCCCUGGAUUUUUGAGAAAGGGUUUCUCUGUGUAGCUCUGACUGUCCUGGAACUUGCUCUGUAGACCAGGCUGGCCUCGAAUCCAAACUCAGAGAUCUGCCUGUCUUUGCUGGAAUUAAAGGUGAGCGACUGGGUGAGCCACCCAGUCUGGCUUAAAUCCUCAGGGGAUGCUGAUCAAAGUCUGCAGACCAUCGGGGACCAGCAGGGAUCUUUAGUCUGAAGCAGCUAAGCAUCCCUGCUCAAAUUAGGACUCUCUGUAAACCCCCCUCUAGCGCCUGCCCAUUUCCAGGGCUCAUUCCACAUUCAAGUGAGGUCAAACCACUGGUAGCAAUUGCAAAUAGUAACCAAGAACAUAGUGAUGUCAUACUCUGUUCCAGGCUGAGAAUGAAUAGAGCAGGGGAAUUUUUUUUCCUGGAAGAUUCUCCAAGCUCCCUCUGUCUUUUUAUUUAACUGCACAGGACAGCCCUCAGCUCUACCUCCAAAAUAUGGUCUUUGCCACAUCCCCACCCCUACUCCCCAGUACUGCCUGCAAAAGGCUCCUUCUGGCUCUCCACCGGCCCCUUUACUCCAUGUCAGCAAACAAAAGAAACGUAAGACCAAAUCAGAGCUGAGCCCUUUGAGGCUAAGACAGGAGGACCACAUGUUUAAGACCAGGCCUGAGUCACACAGAGGAAUACCCACCCCCACAAUAAAACAAACAACAAAAACCUGAAAGUCAGAUGAAGUUGCUUUCCUCCUUUGAGCCCUCCUCCCCUGGUGUCUUCUUAUCCUUGGAACAAACCUCCUUCAUGGUCACCUAAUUGGGCUGUUGCCUAAGCCCAUCAGCCUGCCUUUCACUACCAGCAGAUAAACUUGUGCCUGCCAUAGUUCCUUUGCAGUUACUAGGCCAUUUCCCCCACAUUUUCCUGUGGUUGUGUCCUAUCUGUGAUCUUAGCUUAUAGGCUCACUUGGCGUCUUUCAGAGUGUCCUGCCCAGCUAGAUGCAGCAGUACAGACCUGGAAUUCCAGCACUCAGGCUGAGGCAGGAGGAUCUCAGAGUUCGAGGCCAACCUGUGCUCCACAGCAAGACUCUUCCAAAACAAAUCAGUGUCCUACCCUAAUCAUGGGGAUGGCACCAUCUGAAAUAAUUUUGUAUAUUGAUAUUCUUGAUCUGUUUCUUUCUUCCUCAGGAUGUCAGCUCCUGGGGGCCAGAUCUGAUCUGCUGCAACAAUGAAGCCUGACAAAGCCAGGACAGGAUAGCUGGAUGCCAGGAGACCUCUAAGGCUCCCUGUGAUCCCAGGAGCCAGAGGAUCCGAGCUCACCACGCCCAGGCUCACGUCCUGCGCCCUAGGAAUCGGAGCGCGCACAGGCUGCAGCAGAAGAAUCAGCAGAAGACCCAGUAGUAACCAGAGACCGAGCGCCUGCAGCCUCAUGGCGCGCUCAGCGUGGACCUUGGGGACACGCGAAGGGGCCCUGCUGACUCCGUCCGCCCUGGGGGUCUGGAGGAGGACAGGGACCCGGAUCCCAGCCGAGUCCAGAUGUGCUCAGCGUGACUGCUCCGGGCCAUCCAUUGUCCCAACCCACCUAAAAGGCUCUGCUCUGACGACCGGACGCUGGCACCUCAAGACCCCAAGCUCGCCUGUUCCCACCUCAUGGUUUUCUACCCAGGAACUAGGCAUUUAAACCCAAAACCUGCACACAGAGGAGACAGCAAAAGAUGGAACAGGCAAUUCCUGGGGAAAAGGGCAUGGCCUGGGGACCAGCAGAGCUUCCUCUACAGCCAGAGGAGCCUAGAGACGGAGACCAGACAAGUGGGGAACGGCUGAGAGGAAGCAGGCUGCAGGCUGCGGGACAGAAUGGAAGGAAAGUGAUCAUUGGAAUGUGUGUUGAUGCUCGGUAUCAGGAGCAGCAGGAAAUCCAUUUGCAUUUCAGACAAAAUAAAUAAUGGGAAGAAUGAACAGGCUGCCGAUGUAAACUAGAACAUUGGUAUCCUGUAUUCUUCUGCAGAGCUGUGGACAAA